rnacentral:lncRNA from 1 species
CCCCCGAUGUGUGGAGUUGUGAAGGCCUUCAGACGGUGUUUGUGUGCAGGUCUGAAUGGCCUGCCUUGGGGGUGUGAGCAGUCACCGCUCUGGGUAGCACUUCUAAAGACUCGAACUUUGUCCUGCAGGAGCCCGCUGGCCAGGUGACUGUCUCCCCUGUUUCUGGGUUUUAAUCCUUCAUGAUGCAAUUGUGUGGAGUUAAAUAUGAACAAUGAAUAAUUAUGUAACUAACUAAAUUCCAUCUGACGACAAUUGUCGACUGAUCCCAGCGGCCGCCUUGGGCUGAGGGGCAGUUGAAGAGUGGGAGCGUCAGGCCUCCAGCUGCCCCUCGCUCACUGCCGCCGGCUGCUUACACCACGGCUGUGCUGGAUGUCCCAGUCUGUAGUUUCUUGGUGCCCAGCUUCCCAGGCUCUGGCUGGAGAGUCCUUCAAGGGAGCAGUAAUUGGCAGACACAGUACUGGCUGGCCAGGCUGUGGCUCCUGUGUGCAUUUGCAUGUCGCUUCCUGAGAAAGCUGCCUUCAGACAAGAUGCAGAUGGAGAGUCGUGGUAGUGGAGCUCAUAAGGGCACAACAGGGCCUGCACCUCAGCUCUUGCUGUCACCACGUCCCCAGGAGGACGGAGUCUCACAGCAGGGGGCGCUCUUGUCCAGCCUGCAUGUCUACACCCAGCACACGUGUGCCCUGGAGCAGUGAGAACCCCAGGAACAUGAGAACCACACAGUGGCCCCUGCAGCCUUGCCCAAGACCAGGGAGUUUGUGUGUCCAGGGAGAGGAGAGCCUGGCGCUCAGGGAGAGCACAUUCCCAGCAGGCCGAGCGCCCCGAACAGCCCCAGUGUAUUCUGAAGCCGCAGCCAGACCAUCUGGUCAUCUUUGGGGAAGCAUAAUGCUUGGUAAAUACAGAUGUUUGGGGUCAUGCUGGGAAGGAUGCAUCAUAAACACUACAUACCUGAUGUUCUGGGUCUUCGUGGAGUCUGCAGAUGUCCCAAACCCUUGAGACCCUCCACUGAGGGCGCGUGCGCAUGGAGUUGGCAGUGCAGGGCCCGGGUAGGAGGCAGCGGCUUCUCCCAUGCAGCCUUGCCCUUGAUAAUCCACCUUGUAAUGCUUGCAUCUGUGGUGUCCUGGGAUCGAAGUCAUGGCCCACCAAAUGAAAUGUUUUGGGGAAUAAGAAACGUGCAGGUUUUGAGCAAAAGUAUGAAAAAAGAGGAUUCCUCAGUAUGAGCCUAAUGUCGGAACCAUACCGGACUUAACUUUAGGAAACCUCCUUUCCUCCUGGCUCAUCACUGUCCACAGCUGGAUGGUGGGUUGUGGAGCCGGGGGGCAAGGAGGCACAGAGGGAACUCUGAGGGGGCCCGGGCAUCUCACAGCUGACCGCUUCGAGUUCGCUCACCCUCUCCGCACAGCCCCUGCGCACACGCACACUUUUCAGGAAAGACAGCCUGUGUCGGUGUGCAGUGCGGGACUGCAACUGCAGGAAUGUCCUGUCUCCACAGUCCAAGCAGAGCUCAACAGUCAAGCCCCAAGAAAGGCGAGGCCUCAGUAAGACAGCCUCAGGGCGUGCUCACUGUGCUCCUGGUGCUGCCACUAAGCUGGGUUUCUUGAUGGCCUCUUUGGAAGAGCUUUCUGAUCGGCUCGCAGCUCCUGACUUGCAGGCCCCCUUGUGGUGGCCGGGGGCUAUCUUUACCUACCGCAGAGGGGGGAAGACAAGGUGGUCAGCUUGCGGGUGCCCCCCACUGUCUCUGAUGCGCCAUCCAGUUUCCCGUCUGGCUGCCCGCCCCUGGUGGCAGAGAGCCAGCAUGCAUGCCUGAGCAGUGGCUGAGCACCGCGUGGGCCUGCCUCCCCAGAGCUGGUGUCCAGUGUGUCCGUCACAACCCGAAGGGGCUUCUGCAACUCAAGGACCAUGUGGAAAAUUUGGGUCGAUGGAGACGUGUAACAGCUCCAGAGCAUGUAAAGGCACCAGCUUCAGAGCGCCCUGUGGGUCGGCCUGGGCCCUCACUCCUCCCUGUGCACACAUCCACGCCCGCAGCCUGCGUUUCCGUCUCAGAGUUGGUGUUUGGUGCUGGUCUCAGCCUAUCAAUAACCACUGUUGUGGCUGGGCCGGCCCUUCUGGUUCCUGUUAUGACUACAAGAUGCCCUUCAGUAGUAACCAUAAAGAAACUUUGGCAAAAUAAAGGUUUAUGACCUAGAGCACCUGGAAAUUACACAGCCCGCCUGGGGCCACACAGCGAGGUCGCAGUGUAUCCAAUGAUAAUGAAUUUUCACAUAUUGAGGUAUGUGGGGUACUGUUCUGGUUUAAACCUGGUUUGGCCUGAACUGAAGCUUGACUUAAGGCCUGUCAGACAUACAUUGUCCGUCUGCUUUAACCAUUAAAGAUAAGGAUGCAUUAGGGGCUGACUUGGUGGCGUAGUGGUUAAGUUUGCACACUCCACUUUGGUUGCCUGGGGUUCACAGGUUUGGAUCCCAGGCACGGACCUAGCACAACUCGUCAAGCCACGCUGUGGCAGCAUCCCACAUAAAAUAGAGGAAGACUGGCACAGGUGUUAGCUCAGCAACAAUCUUCCUCACACGCACAAAAAACUAAGAGGAGGAUGCAUUAAACACUGUCUCAAAGUAAAGAAUGCUUUGAGGAUAGGCUGCUCACUGCUGUGCCUGCACGGAGUAUCAGUGCUCCUGGAGAUGUCUCCUUUCCCGGACAGCAGGGUCAUGUUGACCUGCUAACCUAUAAUUGCGUCGUAUCUCUUUGAACCUUUGAUGAAUGUGUAUCCCUGGUGUGUUUGCUGUAUGUUCUUCGUUCUAAAAAGGUAUAAAACUG